UACGUAGGGGGCCAGCGUUGUCCGGAAUCAUUGGGCGUAAAGCGCGCGUAGGCGGUCAGGUAAGUCCGGUGUGAAAGUCAAAGGCUCAACCUUUGAAUGCCGCUGGAAACUGCCUGACUUGAGUCCGGUAGGGGCGAGUGGAAUUCCUGGUGUAGCGGUGAAAUGCGCAGAUAUCAGGAGGGACACCGAUGGCGAAGGCAGGUCUCUGGGCCACUACUGACGCUGAGAAGCGAAAGCAUGGGGAGCGAACAGG
rnacentral:rRNA from 1 species